rnacentral:rRNA from 1 species
CUUUACUGUAGCCUGUUGUUGGCUUUGGGUUCUGACUACGCAGCAUAGGUGGGAGACUUUGAAGUUGCUCUUGUGGGAGCAAUGGAGUCGUCAGUGAGAUACCACUUUGUCAGUACUAGAAGUCUAAUGGAUUACCGUGAUCCGGUGUCCAAACCGCAGCAGGUGGGCAGUUUGACUGGGGCGGUCGCCUCCUAAAAGGUAACGGAGGCACGCAAAGGUUCCCUCAGGUUGGUUGGAAAUCAACCGGAGAGUGCAAAAGCAUAAGGGAGCUUGACUGCAAGACCUACAAGUCGAGCAGGGACGAAAGUCGGCUUUAGUGAUCCGACGGUUGAGUAUGGAAUCGCCGUCGCUCAAUGGAUAAAAGUUA